GUGGGGAAUAUUGGACAAUGGGCGCAAGCCUGAUCCAGCCAUGCCGCGUGUGUGAAGAAGGUCUUCGGAUUGUAAAGCACUUUAAGUUGGGAGGAAGGGCAGUAAGUUAAUACCUUGCUGUUUUGACGUUACCGACAGAAUAAGCACCGGCUAACUUCGUGCCAGCAGCCGCGGUAAUACGAAGGGUGCAAGCGUUAAUCGGAAUUACUGGGCGUAAAGCGCGCGUAGGUGGUUUUGUAAGUUGGAGGUGAAAACCCCGGGAUCAACCUGGGAACUGCCUCCAAAACUGCAUGACUAGAGUACGGUAGAGGGUAGUGGAAUUUCCUGUGUAGCGGUGAAAUGCGUAGAUAUAGGAAGGAACACCAGUGGCGAAGGCGACUACCUGGACUGAUACUGACACUGAGGUGCGAAAGCGUGGGGAGCAAACAGGAUUAGAUACCCCGGUAGUCC
rnacentral:rRNA from 1 species